rnacentral:rRNA from 1 species
GAUGAACGCCGGCGGUGUGCCUAAUACAUGCAAGUCGUACGCACUGGCCCAACUGAUUGAUGGUGCUUGCACCUGAUUGACGAUGGAUCACCAGUGAGUGGCGGACGGGUGAGUAACACGUAGGUAACCUCGCCCCGGACGCGGGGAGUAACAUUUGGAAACAGAUGCUAAUACCGCAUAACAACAAAAGACCGCAUGGCUUUUGUUUGAAAGAUGGCUUUGGCUAUCACUCUGGGAUGGACCUGCGGUGCAUUAGCUAGUUGGUAAGGUAACGGCUUACCAAGGCGAUGAUGCAUAGCCGAGUUGAGAGACUGAUCGGCCACAAUGGAACUGAGACACGGUCCAU